GUUUUCACUGUAGUAUCCACUAAACCGUUUGAACCCUAGGACGUAUCUAUAUUUAUUAGAUACAUAUCCUCUUUCGAGAUAAGGAAAGAGAAGAGAGAAGUUAGGGCUGCAACUCUUUAAAGAGUGACUUUGCAAUAUGGGUGGAACACUAAAGCAUCACAUUCACAAAACAUAUAAUUAGAAGAAAAAAAGUGUUCUGCCGACACUACUGGCAAAAAAUCUAGUAGAUUUUUGAGCACCUCAGAAGCUGCUGACAACAGGAGGCCUUCUGCCGAUGCUACUGGCAAUCUACUGUUAAAACCUACAGUUGAAGAAGAUACGGAACUAGAACAUUCGGAGAAGAUAGCUAUAGCUAAAGCCAAACCUGAGUUUGAUGCUGAGAACACUAAAUUAAUGAAAGCUAUGGCAAAACUUAAGCGCCGUGACUCUGAAGAAUCUGAUGAAAAAGAGGACCAGAUUAAUGAAGGCCAGAUUUUUAGGGAGAUCUCCAAUUGUAGUAAGGAAAGCACAAAGGCCCUAUUGAAGUAUUGUGACGCUCGUAUGAGACGUUAUAAAAUGUUUGAAUGUCCGAUUGCGGCUCAAACAGAGAGAUCCAAUGGUACUCAAUCUAGGGAUUAAUGGGGAAGCAGAAAGGCUUGCACCUUGCUGGAAAGCUGUUGAGGGAUUGCAAGGCACUGGUGGACAUCAUCUCUGACAAACAGUUGGUUAUCUGCAGGAGCAAGGCUAUAUUAAAUAUUUUCUUUGCGUAGUUAGUAGUACCUGGAGUAGUAAUAUGAACUUGAUUUUUGUUUUUUUGAUUAGUUAAAGUAACUCCUUAUCAAACUUGAGUUCUAAGAUCAGAACUGUGUAGUAGAGUCUAAAAUUGUUGGUUGUGGGGAUGACUUUUUUUGGUUAUAUAGUAUUGUUUGUUAUUUAAA